AUUGAACGCUGGCGGCAGGCCUAACACAUGCAAGUCGAACGGUAGCACAGAGAGCUUGCUCUCGGGUGACGAGUGGCGGACGGGUGAGUAAUGUCUGGGAAACUGCCCGAUGGAGGGGGAUAACUACUGGAAACGGUAGCUAAUACCGCAUAACGUCACAAGACCAAAGUGGGGGACCUUCGGGCCUCACACCAUCGGAUGUGCCCAGAUGGGAUUAGCUAGUAGGUGGGGUAACGGCUCACCUAGGCGACGAUCCCUAGCUGGUCUGAGAGGAUGACCAGCCACCCUGGAACUGAGACACGGUCCAUACUCCUACGGGAGGCAGCAGUGGGGAAUAUUGCACAAUGGGCGCAAGCCUGAUGCAGCCAUGCCGCGUGUAUGAAGAAGGCCUUCGGGUUGUAAAGUACUUUCAGCGGGGAGGGAGGCGGUGAAGUUAAUAACUUCACCGAUUGACGUUACCCGCAGAAGAAGCACCGGCUAACUCCGUGCCAGCCGCCGCGGUAA
rnacentral:rRNA from 1 species